GCCCCCGCCCAGGCCCCUGCUCCGGCCCCGGCCGCCCGCUGCCGUGCCCCCGGGGCCGGGGGGGCCGGUCGCCACCGGAGCCCAGGGCCAACCGGCCCCUUCCCAGCCGGCUCGGGUCACGGCAGUAGCGGGUUUUAAAACCAGAGUGGCUCUUCGGGGCUCGGGGCGGGAAGAGGACAGCCCCGCUGCUGUUUGCCUUCCGCUCCUCGCGUUCCCCUGGCCUCCCCGAGCUCCACUCUGUCAGCAAUAACUCACAGCGGUGAAUUUCAGGAAUUAGUCGUAAAACUCCCGAAGCCUUUGUUCAAGUAGAGAUCCCCUUGCUCCAGCUAAUGUAUAAUUCUGGCACCCAAAAUAUGACUGAGGACGCAAAAAAUCCUUCACAGUCAAAAUUGCUGGUAAAAAGUGGUAUGCAGCAGGUAGGACGGCACCCAUCCAAAACAACAGGGACCUGCAAACAUAGACUGUGUUCCAGUGGUGGAGAUUUCACUGGUCAUGAUGCCUCCACACAAGCAACCCAGGGAACUGGUGGAAUUAAUUUAUGUGUAAGAGGAUUCUGAAAUAAGGAAUCUAGAAAUUAACAGAAAUAAGGAAUCUGUUUCUGAAAUAAGGAAUCUAUACUGGAUUUUGGGCAUUGACCUGCUGCCAGUUACCAUCAUCUGCAGAAGACCUGAUCCCAGCUGACCACCUGACCAACCCAAGGAGACCAUAUAAGUCUUCUUGAUUAGCUGAAAGCUGUGUGCAGGGGUGGACCUUUUGGGAAUGGAGGCAAGUAGGUGGUAGGUGUUUUGGAACAGAUGGUUCUUGUUUCUCUCCUAUCUGGAGAUAAAACUGACUUUUCAGUGACAAUUUUUAGUCCUCAGUGAGCAUGCAGAAAGAGGAUUUGUUCUGUGUGUUUUUAAAAGAUGUUUUUUUGAUCUGCCUUGGACAGGACAGUUGAAAGAUGUAUUUUUCAUCAAAGGUAGGCAGUCACUACAGCCACAUUUUCAGUAGAAGUUCUUUAGUGUCUACUUUUUCAAUAAAUUUAAAAUAGAAGCUUAGAUGAACUUCUGCAUAGUGGUACACUUGUAAAUCAGGGAAAAUACAUCUGUCUUUAACAUGUAAGGGAAUAAGGAGAAGAGGAAGCUAAUCCUUACUGUUACUCUCCUUAACGAGUUUUUUUGCUUUCUUAAACCGUGAUGAUCUCAAACUACCUUCUCUCUAGGCCAUGGAGAAAUACCAGGACAAAGCACUUUCCUUAUAGAACUUAUCAACUUUGCUCCUAGGCCUGACAGAGGCUACACUUCUUUUAAGGAUGGCCUCUCCUUGGAGAUGUCCCUGAACAGAAAUUCUGUAACACUCAUCUCUGACAUACAUAUUUUGCCAUAGUAUGUUGGCUGACUUGAAGGCUCCUUUCAAAGAGCAUUCAUCCUGUGUGCCACAGCAGUUUGUAAAAUACAGGAGUCAAAAGGAGUUUCCAUCCAUUUCAUGUUAAUUCCUACAGCUGGGGGCAAUUAAUAGUUGUCCCCACAACACAGCAGACUUUGAUGCAACAGGCUUUCAGCUAUACUUCUCGUGUUUUGUGUAGCUUUAGACCCAAAGGACUGGUUGACCUUUUUUUUUUUUUUUGCAGGCAUCAGACCUUGUACACAUAAAUAAGUCAGUUU